rnacentral:rRNA from 1 species
UACGUAGGGGGCAAGCGUUGUCCGGAAUCAUUGGGCGUAAAGAGCGUGUAGGCGGCUCGGUAAGUCCGCUGUAAAAGUCAAAGGCUCAACCUUUGAAUGUCAGUGGAUACUGCCGGGCUAGAGUCCGGAAGAGGCGAGUGGAACUCCUGGUGUAGCGGUGGAAUGCGCAGAUAUCAGGAAGAACACCAACGGCGAAGGCAGCUCGCUGGGACGGUACUGACGCUGAGGCGCGAAAGCGUGGGGAGCGAACAGG